CCUACGGGAGGCAGCAGUGGGGAAUCUUGCGCAAUGGGCGGAAGCCUGACGCAGUGACGCCGCGUGGGGGAUGACGGCCUUCGGGUUGUAAACCUCUUUCGCCGCCGACGAAGCCUUCGGGUGAUGGUAGGCGGAUAAGAAGCACCGGCCAACUACGUGCCAGCAGCCGCGGUAACACGUAGGGUGCGAGCGUUGUCCGGAAUUAUUGGGCGUAAAGAGCGUGUAGGCGGCUUGGUAAGUCUGCUGUGAAACCUUGGGGCUCAACCCCAAGCGUGCAGUGGAUACUGUCAGGCUAGAGGAUGGUAGAGGCCAGUGGAAUUCCCGGUGUAGCGGUGAAAUGCGCAGAUAUCGGGAGGAACACCAGUAGCGAAGGCGGCUGGCUGGGCCAUUCCUGACGCUGAGGCGCGAAAGCUAGGGGAGCGAACAGGAUUAGAUACCCUGGUAGUCCUAGCCGUAAACGAUGAACACUAGGUGUGGGGGGAGUCGAAUCCCUCCGUGCCGAAGCCAACGCGUUAAGUGUUCCGCCCGGGGAGUACGGCCGCAAGGCUAAAACUCAAAUGAAUUGACGGGG
rnacentral:rRNA from 1 species